UACGUAGGGUGCGAGCGUUGUCCGGAAUUAUUGGGCGUAAAGAGCUCGUAGGCGGUCUGUCGCGUCUGCUGUGAAAGACCGGGGCUCAACUCCGGUUCUGCAGUGGGUACGGGCAGACUAGAGUGCAGUAGGGGAGACUGGAAUUCCUGGUGUAGCGGUGAAAUGCGCAGAUAUCAGGAGGAACACCGGUGGCGAAGGCGGAUCUCUGGGCCGUAACUGACGCUGAGGAGCGAAAGCAUGGGGAGCGAACAGG
rnacentral:rRNA from 1 species